rnacentral:rRNA from 1 species
UUCCAGACUCCUACGGGAGGCAGCAGUGGGGAAUAUUGGGCAAUGGGCGCAAGCCUGACCCAGCAACGCCGCGUGAAGGAAGAAGGCUUUCGGGUUGUAAACUUCUUUUAAGAGGGAAGAGCAGAAGACGGUACCUCUUGAAUAAGCUCCGGCUAACUACGUGCCAGCAGCCGCGGUAAUACGUAGGGAGCGAGCGUUGUCCGGAUUUACUGGGUGUAAAGGGCGUGCAGCCGGGAGUACAAGUCAGAUGUGAAAUCCCGCGGCUCAACCGCGGAACUGCAUUUGAAACUGUAUUUCUUGAGUACUGGAGAGGCAGACGGAAUUCCUAGUGUAGCGGUGAAAUGCGUAGAUAUUAGGAGGAACACCAGUGGCGAAGGCGUCUUACUGGACCGAAACUGACGUUGAGGCUCGAAAGCGUGGGGAGCAAACAGGAUUAGAUACCCGGGUAGC